rnacentral:rRNA from 1 species
UACGAAGGGGGCUAGCGUUGCUCGGAAUCACUGGGCGUAAAGGGUGCGUAGGCGGGUUUUUAAGUCAGGGGUGAAAUCCUGGAGCUCAACUCCAGAACUGCCUUUGAUACUGAAGAUCUUGAGUCCGGGAGAGGUGAGUGGAACUGCGGGUGUAGAGGUGAAAUUCGUAGAUAUUCGCAAGAACACCAGUGGCGAAGGCGGCUCACUGGCCCGGUACUGACGCUGAGGCACGAAAGCGUGGGGAGCAAACAGG